UCCUGAAGGAACGUUUGAGACUAAGACGUUGAUAGGCUGGGUGUGUAAGUGCAGCGAUGUAUUGAGCUAACCAGUACUAAUGAACCGAGAGGCUUAACCUGACAACACCGAAGGUGUUU
rnacentral:rRNA from 1 species